rnacentral:lncRNA from 10 species
AAGAAAACAAAUUCCUGCCCUUUAUUCUUUCAAAUCUACUUCUAGAAAAGUCUUAGAGUUCCUGUUAAUUCAAACACCAAUCUCCCACCUUCCCUCUCUCCUGUCUCUAUGAGCUGCCUGGGCGGCACACUUCCUACCCACCUGCUCACUCCCUCCAUCUCCUAUACUGUUUUAUCCCCUGGAGUUUGGAGAUGUCCCUGUGGAAGGGGACAGUGGGGAGUGUGUGCCAGAUCCCCCCCGCCCAUUGUCACCUUGGUCUGAAUCCAACCCCACAAGGGGAGCUGGAGCCGUCUCCCUGCAUCUCCCUGGGCCUGCCCAUUGUCAAGGUCCUGGUCACCUUUGAAGCCUCCUGCAGGGAUCCCCAGUGCCAAUGGAGCCUUUUCCAAAGCCCAGUAGCAUGACAUUUUAGACUUGGAAAUCCCUAGACAAAUAAAUCUCACUUAAUCCUCACCAAGUUGGCCCCCAGUGGAGACAAUUGCUUAGCCAAGUUUAUCAGGUACCACUAGUUCUUGCAGCAAACAUUCCUUCUGUUCCAGGCAUUGUGCUCGGGUUGGCAAUACAGGAUAAACAAGACAAGGUCCCUGUCCUUGCGGAGCAACCAGACCAUCAGAAGAGACACACAUAAAACAGAGGGGCCUGCUCAUUUUGCAUGCCUCAUACCCAACAUUUCUCCACUCUCACAGGCUCUCCAAGUCCCUACUCUUGCCAUUUCCCAGCUCUGUAAUGUAAAUGGCUUACUGUAUGCCUCAGGCUCCUCAUCUGUAAAAUGGGGUUAUUAAUAGUAUCUACCUCGCCUGGGGGCGGUGGCUUAUGCCUGUAAUCCCAGCACUUUGGGAGGCCGAGGUGGUUGGAU